GUAGAUAUAGUUUAAUCAAAACGUUAGAUUGUGAUUCUAGUAACAGAGGUUAAAACCCCCUUAUCCACC
rnacentral:tRNA from 2 species